rnacentral:rRNA from 1 species
GUAGGUGGCAAGCGUUGUCCGGAAUUAUUGGGCGUAAAGCGCGCGCAGGCGGUUCUUUAAGUCUGAUGUGAAAGCCCACGGCUCAACCGUGGAGGGUCAUUGGAAACUGGAGAACUUGAGUACAGAAGAGGAAAGCGGAAUUCCACGUGUAGCGGUGAAAUGCGUAGAGAUGUGGAGGAACACCAGUGGCGAAGGCGGCUUUCUGGUCUGUAACUGACGCUGAGGCGCGAAAGCGUGGGGAGCAAACAGGGAUUAGAUACCCUGGUAGUCCACGCCGUAAACGAUGAGUGCUAAGUGUUAGGGGGUUUCCCGCCCCUUAGUGCUGCAGCUAACGCAUUAAGCACUCCGCCGUGGGGAGUACGGCCGCAAGGCUG